GUAUUUAUAUUUUUACAUAAUUUAUCCGCAUAUAUAUUUUAUGUUCAAGGAAAUGUUAGUAACUUCAUUUUAGAAUCGGUAGUGAGUUUAGUAAUUGUGGAAUUCUUUGUAGUAAGAAUAUUAUGGUACUGUAGUUUUGUGUAGAGUAAUUUAUGAUUUUGUAAAAAGUAGCAUCCAGCAUCUAGGGCUCACACGGUGAUACACGUCGAUUCAAGCACCUGUAUUCGCAUUUGGGGGAAACAUUUACUUUUAAUAAACAUGACAAAAAUCAAUCAAAUCAAAUAAUUAUAAUGAUAAUAAUAUUUAUUUGAUUUGAUUUGUUUUGUUUUGUUAUGAUUUGUUAAUUAUAUAUGUGGUAUCGGGAUGCAUUGAAAUGGAUCCCAUGUUUUUGGCCAAAAACAUGAGUAAAUUGCAAAUAACACCCUUGUGUAAUAUGUAAUUGUCAAAUACCCCUGUCAAAUAAAAAUUCACUCAUACCUCCCUAAAGUCAAUGCAUUGAGACCCCUGGAAUCGAAUCGUGUCUCACACGCGCGAGUUGUGCGAUUUUUCCUUCACUUUUGUUGUGGGAAAUGACAGAGUUGCCCCCAACAUUUUUUUUUCUUCUUCUUUGUUCGUCAUCUUCGUCACGAAUCAACCCCCUGCGUCAAAACUCCCGAUCCAUGGCUGUCGAAGCUCCAGCUGUGGAUUUGCAGUCAUCUUCGCCGGUAAACCAUGGUCGUCGUCUUCAAUCGCCAGCGGUGGAUUUUGUGUAACAAUAGCUUUAAAGAAGUCGACAAAAUCAACCUCUGGAAAGGAUAAAUGGGCAUUCGAAUCUCAAGUGAAUUCCACCUUCACAGUGAGUUCUUCGCCUACCAUUUGAAGCGAUUUUCUUACCGCAUUUCAACACAAUUGCACCCCUCUGAUGUCCAAUUUCUCCUGAACGACGAUGUCUUGCUCACGGUUGUGGGCGGUGGAUCUAAAAACUACGAUGGUGGUGGGGGUAGAUUGGUGUGCGGGUAGUGGGGUGCUGUGAAGAAGACGACUAUUUGUCGUCGUCUUCUUUUUUUCCUUCAAUAAUUCUCAUCAGUAUUUAUAUUUAUUAUAUAUUUUAUUUGUUUAAAAUAAUAAUAUUAUUAAAAAUUUGUUAAACACGUGUAUGUUUUAUUAUUUGCAAAAAGACCCUAGGUCAUUUUUGUCAUUUCGCCCUUGGUCAACAAUUAAACUAUCAA
rnacentral:lncRNA from 1 species